UUGAGAGAAACUUGAUUAAAUACUUAGAGAAGAUACUUUAGUUGGUACGUCACACAAUCAAUUCCUUCGAGCUUGAAUUGAAUGAAGGAUGGUUGACUUGAAUGCUCUCUUAAAUUUUUUAUUGCUUUUUUGGCACUUUGUUCUUUGUUCUUUUUUCUUUUCUCAAAAAUUAUUGUUUUCCAAUUAAAUUCUCCACUUAAAUACCUUCGAAAAUGGCUAAAGAGGGCA
rnacentral:lncRNA from 1 species